AACAAACGCUGGCGGCGUGCCUAAUACAUGCAAGUCGAACGGGGAAAGCUUUCGGGUGAGUACUAGUGGCGCACGGGUGAGGAACGCGUGGAUAAUCUGCCUUAGAGUGGGAUAACCAGUCGAAAGAUUGGCUAAUACCGCAUAAGACCACAGGAACUGAGGUUCUGGAGGUCAAAGGUUUUUCGCUUCAAGAUGAGUUCGCGUAAGAUUAGCUAGUUGGUGAGGUAACGGCUCACCAAGGCGACGAUCUUUAACUGGUCUGAGAGGAUGAUCAGUCACACUGGAACUGAGACACGGUCCAGACUCCUACGGGAGGCAGCAGUAGGGAAUAUUGCACAAUGGAGGAAACUCUGAUGCAGCGACGCCGCGUGAGUGAUGAAGGCCUUCGGGUCGUAAAGCUCUGUCGCAGGGGAAUAACACAAUGAAGGUACCCUGUAAGAAAGGAUCGGCUAACUUCGUGCCAGCAGCCGCCGUAACAC
rnacentral:rRNA from 1 species